rnacentral:lncRNA from 1 species
AAAGAAGCACCUGCCUUGCCUCCUUCCCUCCUUUGCCUGUCCAAAGGUGAAUGAUAUGAGUCGGGCAGUGUGCAUGUCUUCCCAGAAGAAAAAAUGAGGCUCAGAUGUGACUCGGUGUCCCCGAUUCCCACGUUGAAAUCCUCACCCGCGUGAAGAUGGUGUUAGGAGGUCAGACCUUUGGAAGGUGAUGAGGUCAUGAGGGUGGAGCCCCAACGAAUGGGAUUAGUGCCCUCAUGAAAGAGACACAAGAGAGAUGAUCUCUUUCCUCCGAUUGAGGACACAGCAGGAAGCCUGCCCGUCUGCAACCAAGAAGCCAGCCUGCAGCAGAAUCUGACGGUGCAGGCGCCCGGAUCUCAGAACUGCCAGCCUGCAGAACUCAGAGGAGAGACAUGUCUGUUGUUUGUAGGUCACCCAGUCAGCGGUUCUUUUUAUAGCAGCCUGAACUGACUAAGACACUUGGGAAGGCUUGUUCCUUUUUGGUUUUGGUUCUUGUUUUGUUUUAACCUAACCAAAUUCUUGACCCAGUUAUUUAGAAAAGAGAAGCCAUGUCUUCUGAGGCGCCAGUCUUCAACAGGGAAGGCCUCCAGUGGUCUCGGAGUCUGCUGUUUGCUAGGUUGGGAGAAGCUCCUGCACUUCUUAAAACCCUUCUAAGGCAACUUAUAGAUCAUGAAAGCCAUGAAAUCAUUGUUUUUUAAUUGUUUCUCACACUAUUAAUUCAGGAGGGAGAUCUUUACCUUUCAUCCUAUUUUGUGCACGAGGAAAAAAGUAGGAAUUGAGGUCAAGUUAGGCAGGGACCUCGGAGUCCUUUUGGGAGUGUAAGGGCUGGCCAUGCCAACAGAUAAGAUGGAGCUUUUUACAAAAAUAUUUAUUUAUUUUAAAAUAGAGAUGAGGACUCACUAAGUUGCCUAGGCUGGUCACGAACUCCUGGCCUCAAGCAGUCCUCCUGCCGUGGCCUCCCAAAGUGCUGGGAUUACAGGCGUGAGAUGGAUCUUGUUGUGACACUGUCGGCAUGAGUGUGCGGUCGCCACACAGUCUUGGUGACUUAGCCUUUCAUGUUAGCUGUGAUUAGGGUUGUGUCGUUCAUGAGAACAGCUCUGGAGAAAGGCCUUGGGUAAGGCAUGAAAUGGUUUUUCUCUUCCUUGAGCUUCAUUUAUUUUUCCCCCUCAGGAUGCUUGCAGAUGUUAGGACUACGCCCACAUGCUAAGAGCACCUGGGAAGGUGAUGGGAUUCCUGUGGGCUCCUUAUCAGGUGGACUCAGGAAGGUGGUGGACUUCCUGUGGGCCCCUCUUCAGAUGUGCCUGGGAGGGUAAUGGACUUCCUGUGGUCCCCUCAUCAAGUGGGCCUGGGAGGGUGAUGGACUUCCUGUGGUCCCCUCAUCAAGUGGGCCUGGGAGGGUGAUGGACUUCCUGUGGACCCCUCAUCAGGUGGGCCUGGGAGGGUGACAGACUUCCUGUGGGCCCCUCGUCAGACGGGCCUGGGAGGGUGACGGACUUCCUGUGGGCCCCUCGUCAGACGGGCUACUUGCCCACCCCGUGUCUGCAUUGAGGCUGCAGCAGGAAUAGCACAUUGGAGCUUAAAGCAGAGUGCUGAUGUGUGCACCGCAUUCUUCCAGGGCGGCUGUGGUGUUGAAAGCUCAUUUGGCCAGGGUUGAAUUAGCAGAGUGCAUUGAGAAAUGGAACUCAAGCCCAGUGUGAUCUUCUGGGAAAAGCUGACACCAGAAAACAAAAGAGAGCAAGAGAGAAGACAGUGGGUGAAGUCCUGGUUCCAGACUCCCCUUUUUGCCGGGAUAUGAUGGAUCUGUCAGCUGGUGCCUAGAGUCCUAGAGAGCUAGAGAUGGAGGGAAAUUCAGAUCAUCUAAACCCUUCAGCCCUUCACUGGACAGAAGAGGAAACUGAGGCUCCAUCUGCAUGACGUUCCCAGAGUCACGGCACAAAUUCAUGGAAGAAGCAGCAGGAAACUCAGUUCUCCAGUCUGGGUCCAAUGUGUGUUUUAGAAAUAUCUCCACAGGGUUAAUGACUCAAUUUUUCAUGCAUGAUUGCUAGUAAUGACAAUCAUGUUAUGUUUGUUUCUGUAGCUUUGGAAAUCACUCCUUCCACUUGAGUUUCAGGUCCCAACUGUCCACACCUGCAGGAGUGAGGUUUUGCUGAGACUGAUAAGGCACUCACAUUUUGUGGGAGUUGAAUUGUCUCUGUAGCCUAGAAUCUAGAUUUUUUUCCCUCCUCUGCUCUCAGUGAACGGAGAAUUCCAUCUCGGUACAAUCUGUGAACCAUUCUGCAGUAAGAUUGUCAUCGUCUCAUUCAUACUACCUGGUCGGUAACACAAAGGGCUGUAAUUGAUGUGGUUCAGAGACUCACAUCCAAGCAAUAAAAAUGAAUCCCUUAUGGUGGUCUGCAGCAACGCAAAUGGAUCCAGUGUCUGGCUUUAAUGGGAGUGGGGAAAUUGCUAACAGAUGACGGUAACUUUC